rnacentral:tRNA from 1 species
GCACCGGUGGUGUAAGGCGAACAUCGCUGCCCGGAAAGCAGAAGAUGCGGGUUCGAGUCCCGCUUGGCGCA